rnacentral:rRNA from 1 species
GCAAGUCGAGGGGCAGCAUAGUCUUCGGACUGAUGGCGACCGGCGCACGGGUGCGUAACGCGUAUGCAACCUACCCACUACAGGGGGAUAGCUUUCGGAAACGGAAAUUAAUACCCCAUAACACAUAAGUAUCGCAUGGUACUAAUGUUAAAGAUUUAUCGGUAGUGGAUGGGCAUGCGUAAGAGUAGAUUGUGGGUGAGGUAACGGAGCACCAAGACUACGAUCUUUAGGGGUUCUGAGAGGAUGAUC